GACGAACGCUGGCGGCGUGCUUAACACAUGCAAGUCGAACGGUGAAGGGGAGCUUGCUCCCCGGAUCAGUGGCGAACGGGUGAGUAACACGUGGGCAACCUGCCCCAGACUUCGGGAUAACGCUUCGAAAGAGGUGCUAAUACCGGAUACGAACUCCUUGGGCAUCCUGGGAGUUGGAAAGUUUUUCGGUCUGGGAUGGGCCCGCGGCCUAUCAGCUAGUUGGUGAGUUAACGGCUCACCAAGGCGACGACGGGUAGCCGGCCUGGGAGGGCGACCGGCCACACUAGGACUGAGACACGACCCAGACUCCUACGGGAGGCAGCAGUGGGGAAUAUUGCGCAAUGGGCGAAAGCCUGACGCAGCAACGCCGCGUGAGGGAUGACGGCCUUCGGGUUGUAAACCUCUGUUCUUGGAGAAGAGAAGAAGACGGUAUCCAAGGAGGAAGCCCCGGCUAACUACGUGCCAGCAGCCGCGGUAAAAC
rnacentral:rRNA from 1 species